rnacentral:snoRNA from 1 species
UCCUUCGGUUCAUAAGCGUGGUGAUUGGGUGUUCACACUCUUGUGUGAGAUGUGCCUCCCUCUAAACCUUGUUAUGACAUCGGCACAUUACCCGUCUGAC